rnacentral:rRNA from 1 species
CGGGUGAGUAACGCGUGAGGAACCUGCCUCAAAGAGGGGGACAACAGUUGGAAACGACUGCUAAUACCGCAUAAGCCCACAGCUCGGCGUCGAGCAGAGGGAAAAGGAGUGAUCCGCUUUGAGAUGGCCUCGCGUCCGAUUAGCUAGUUGGUGAGGUAAUGGCCCACCAAGGCGACGAUCGGUAGCCGGACUGAGAGGUUGAACGGCCACAUUGGGACUGAGACACGGUCCAA